AUUGAACGCUGGCGGCAUGCCUUACACAUGCAAGUCGAACGGCAGCACGGGAGCAAUCCUGGUGGCGAGUGGCGAACGGGUGAGUAAUACAUCGGAACGUGCCCAGUAGUGGGGGAUAGCCCGGCGAAAGCCGGAUUAAUACCGCAUACGACCUGAGGGUGAAAGCGGGGGAUCGCAAGACCUCGCGCUAUUGGAGCGGCCGAUGUCAGAUUAGCUAGUUGGGGGGUAAAGGCCUACCAAGGCUACGAUCUGUAGUUGGUCUGAGAGGACGACCAGCCACACUGGGACUGAGACACGGCCCAGACUCCUACGGGAGGCAGCAGUGGGGAAUUUUGGACAAUGGGGCAACCCUGAUCCAGCAAUGCCGCGUGCAGGAAGAAGGCCUGG
rnacentral:rRNA from 1 species